rnacentral:lncRNA from 1 species
ACACGUGGGGAGGAAUCAGCCUGAGAAUGAAACCAUCACAGGAAAGGGCUGAAAGACGGUGAGUGUGUGCUUUCUAAGGGCAGCAUUUGGGCCUUGGCCCCAGCCGGCCCUGAAGCCAGCACAACCCCCGGAACGUCUCAAUUUGUGAGCCAAUAAAUGCCCUUGAUGGUUUAGGCAAGUUUUCACUGGGUCUUACCCGACGUGAGCCCCCACUCCUCCAUAUGGACCUGUUUUGGACCAAUGAGGCAUCCUCUUCUGUAGUCCUCAACACGCGGAGCUCCACCACUCCUGAGCAGUGUGACCUCAGGUGGGGUUGGGGAGAGGCCUCGGGAUGGCAAGGACCAGGGUCUGCGGCCAAGCCUGUGGGUCCUGUCUCCCUCUAGGAUGCCCCUGGGACACUGGUACCCAUGGAUGCACUGGGUGACUUGAGGUCAAUGGCUUUCUCUCUCCAGACCUAGGCAGAAAAAGCAAUCUGCUUUGCAUCAGAGAACCUCAAGAGGCUCUUAAUCCUGCUCUUUUCUCCCUCUGGGCUCCCUCCGUGAUGAGCUCAUCUGACCUCCUGGCAACCCCGAAGGGUGGUUUAGAGCAGGGAAUCAGCCUCCCGAUUUACAGAAAGGAUAACUCAGGCCAGGGAAGCGACUUGGACAGGGUCCUGCAGGGACUCAGUGAAGGAGGCUUCGGAACCCAGCCUGUCUUCCAGCAGGCCAGGAAUCAGCAAAUCUGGCUACCUGUUUUUUUAUUUUUAUUUAUUUAUUUAUUUUGAGACAAAGUCUCGCUCUUGUCAUCCAGGCUGGAGUGCAAUGGCAUGAUCUCGGCUCACUGCAACCUCCGCCUCUGGGGCUCAAGCGAUUCUCCUGCCUCAGCCUCCUGAGUA